ensembl:lncRNA
UUUAUUUUUUCUGCAGCUGAUGAGAACAGACACUCCUGGGGUUGGGUCAAGAGGUAAGCCAAGCUCGUGUUAGAGCAACAGUGCCAAAAUCACAAUAAAAAUUAAACAGAUCUUCCUUCUCGCACUGGGAUCAUUUCCAUUACUGAUUAAAUGGAUAAAGAGUCUUGCAGGCCUGACAUCUUCUUGGAAGAAUCUCAUAUCCUUUAUUAUUUGCACACCUUUCAGAAUACUACUUACGCUUCUUGGAAUACAUUAUCCAUUUCAAUUCCCUCUAUCCUUCACUCUCUGCAGAGAGCCACAAAAGCUCCUUUUAUGCCAGAAGAAAUUUCAGAUGAAUCAGGAAAAAAGUACUUAAUUGAACCAUUUGGGGAAAAAAAGGGUCAUUUCUACUUGUUUUUGAAAGCUUAUGCAUCUCAAAUAUGACAAAUCAAGCCAGAUAUCUUAAUCAUUUGUUGGAAACAUCCUUGUCAGAAACUUAUUCAUAAAGAUUGCAGAUGUGUGAGCUGAAAAGUGUUUGGCAGGGUCCCAGAAGAAAAAAAAAGAGUAUUAACUGGUUGAUUAAAUAGAAAUGUAUUGGAGUCCCACUCAUUUGGAGAACUUUCCAUUAUCCCAUUUGUUCUAGUUGGAAGAAUAAUAGAUAAAUCAGCAGGAUGUCAGGUUUCUGAUGUCCGUCACUGCUACACAUAGAUAUGUUUAUUUGUAUAGGUAUGAUUACAAGACCGUAUGCAUACCUGCACCACACCUGUAUGCUUGUGCAUGGCUAUGCAUAUGGACACGCAGGUCCUCUCACCUGUGAUGACUUUGUCUCCUGUAGAGUUAAAUGGUUUUCUGUUUCAGCAAUUUAAACACCAUUUAAACACUGUUUAACAAAAUCAAGAGCAGUUCUUGGCAAUUAAUUUCUGCAGUCAAUAGUAUUCUCAAACCGGGCAACUCCCCUUGGAGUGGGGAACCAUAACAGCAAAGUCUGUGCAAGUGAAAGAGCAAGACAAUUCAUUAGGCAACUCUGCAGCAGCUAAAAGUGGCGGGGGAUGUCAGCCCAUGCUCCUGUGCUUCAAUACUAAUGAGAGUCAUUGCAUAUUCAUAAUCCUAAAUACAGUCAGCUUCUGAUAAAACUUUUGUCAUCGAAGCUUCACAGCAAGAGCAAAGCAUUGCACUCCUCAUGUCCUGACACUUCCACCAAGCCAACACAAGAGCAGGUUUGAUUAUUUUGCAACUCAGCCUGACAGGGAACUAAGAGAUACUGCCCCAAGGGUCCCGAAACUAAACUUAGUUUGCUUACAAAUCUCCAAGUAAUCAAAGAAACGAAAGAGAGGGAGGAAAAUGGGAGGAAAAAGGUUUUGUCUUGUUAGUGAGUUUUGGGCUUGGGCUUUUUUGUUAUUUUUUAAAGAUAAAGGAGGCUCUAAAGAUGUAGCUUUUGUUAUUGAGUGUUGAGAGUAAUUAUCUGUUAGGCAUUUAGUACAGUUCAUAUCAAUUUUUAUCACGGAGGAAGAAGAACGGCAGGUGCUAGCAAACUUGUUCCCAUGUUGUAGGAACACUGCUGCAUGUCUUAAUAGAUACAAAUCUCUAAAACAGUAUGAAGUUUCACGUCAAUAUGAAUAGCAAAGAUUAGUGAACUCAACCUGUCAGACAUUAAAAUCAGCUCUGCAAGUGUUGUGCUACCCAGAAUUCACUUCUUGCAGGUUCCUUUUCAUUUCUGUUGUCAGCUCCUUCUUCUUCUCACUGUUGUUGCUAUUUUUAUUAUUAGUUUUGAGAAAGUACCCAUCUCCUUCACUGGCAGUAAAAAUCCUGAAUAUGCACAGCUCUGCUGGCCUUUGACCCUGAAAUACCUGUCUGCUGGAGCAGCUCUCUUACCUUCUAUUUCCCAGUCAGCUGUGUGGACAUGUCCAGAGUAACACAGUAGAGGUGAUUAUCAAUCCGAACUAUCUGCUAGGAAUAUUUUAAUUCAGCUUCGUGCUGGGGGAAGGCAAUUCAUGCACUACACGUGCCUCAGAAGGAGGAAGCUGCCUGUUGUCUGCCCACUUUGUUCUUGCACUUUCGAAGGCCACCAUCCUGGUCACCUAAAGAAGAAGCAGAAAGGCCGGCGACAGGGAGCCCGGGCCGGCGACAGGGAGCCCGGGCCGGCGACAGGGAGCCCGGUGCGGCGGCUAGGUCCGUCCACCUCCUCACAGGGUUUCUGCCUCUGUCU